rnacentral:rRNA from 1 species
AUGAACGCUGGCGGAAGGCCUAACACAUGCAAGUCGAACGGCAGCACAGUAAGAGCUUGCUCUUAUGGAUGGCGAGUGGCGGACGGGUGAGGAAUACAUCGGAAUCUACCUUUUCGUGGGGGAUAACGUAGGGAAACUUACGCUAAUACCGCAUACGACCUUCGGGUGAAAGCAGGGGACCUUCGGGCCUUGCGCGGAUAGAUGAGCCGAUGUCGGAUUAGCUAGUUGGCGGGGUAAAGGCCCACCAAGGCGACGAUCCGUAGCUGGUCUGAGAGGAUGAUCAGCCACACUGGAACUGAGACACGGUCCAGACUCCUACGGGAGGCAGCAGUGGGGAAUAUUGGACAAUGGGCGCAAGCCUGAUCCAGCCAUACCGCGUGGGUGAAGAAGGCCUUCGGGUUGUAAAGCCCUUUUGUUGGGAAAGAAAAGCAAUCGGCUAAUACCCGGUUGUUCUGACGGUACCCAAAGAAUAAGCACCGGCUAACUUCGUGCCAGCAGCGUGUAAAAA